GCAGAGCGGGGGGGGGAGCAAUCUACCUUUAGGCUUUCAAGAAUCACUGAGUUGGGGGCACCGUGGUGACAGCGCGCCCCCUGGGUGCAGGGGAGGGCUGAAGUGUGUCGCUCUAUGGUCUCAGUGUCUGUUUGAGGGUGAGGCGGGGGGCUGAUCAGACUUGGGGGUGCCACCCCCUAGUGUCUGGAGGGCUCCUGGGUUUGACUCUUCUGGUCUAACCUCCCUCCCGUUCUGUCUCCCCAGCAUGGGAUCAUAUAUGGAAGCUGCACAGUCAAGCUCCCAGCAGAAUCACCGUCUACGCUGACCCCCUGGAUGGCAAGGGUUAAACGGGGGGCCUCCCGCGCUGUGAGCCAGGCAGGGCCGGGACUGGACCCCCCCACGAAGACUUGGCCUCAAGACUCACCCCAGCUGGGCGUGGCGCGGAGCCGGUGGGAUCCAUGGGGAGACGCAGCCCCGUGUCUAUCCCCUGGCCCCUCGGUCCCAGGCCGUCCGUCCCUUGUGCGCAGCCCCCCCCCCCUUUUGCGGUUUGACAACUGUUUUAGUCUCCCUCUUCAUCCCGGUUUUUUGUUCCAUCCCCAGCGAGCUGUGGCUCGGGGCCGCUGCAGAUUAAAGGCAAAAUGAAUUUAUUUAAAUUCA